UACGUAGGGUGCAAGCGUUGUCCGGAAUUAUUGGGCGUAAAGAGCUCGUAGGCGGUUUGUCACGUCGGAUGUGAAAACUCGGGGCUCAACCCCCGAGCCUGCAUUCGAUACGGGCAGACUUGAGUUCGGCAGGGGAGACUGGAAUUCCUGGUGUAGCGGUGAAAUGCGCAGAUAUCGGGAGGAACACCAGUAGCGAAGGCGACACUCUGGGCCGGUACUGACGCUGAGGAGCGAAAGCGUGGGGAGCAAACAGG
rnacentral:rRNA from 1 species